UAGGGAAUCUUCGGCAAUGGACGAAAGUCUGACCGAGCAACGCCGCGUGAGUGAAGAAGGUUUUCGGAUCGUAAAACUCUGUUGUUAGAGAAGAACAAGGACGUUAGUAACUGAACGUCCCCUGACGGUAUCUAACCAGAAAGCCACGGCUAACUACGUGCCAGCAGCCGCGGUAAUACGUAGGUGGCAAGCGUUGUCCGGAUUUAUUGGGCGUAAAGCGAGCGCAGGCGGUUUCUUAAGUCUGAUGUGAAAGCCCCCGGCUCAACCGGGGAGGGUCAUUGGAAACUGGGAGACUUGAGUGCAGAAGAGGAGAGUGGAAUUCCAUGUGUAGCGGUGAAAUGCGUAGAUAUAUGGAGGAACACCAGUGGCGAAGGCGGCUCUAUGGACUGUAACUGACGCUGAGGCUCGAAAGCGUGGGGAGCAAACAGG
rnacentral:rRNA from 1 species